AACGAACGCUGGCGGCAUGCCUAAUACAUGCAAGUCGAACGAGAUCUUCGGAUCUAGUGGCGCACGGGUGCGUAACGCGUGGGAAUCUGCCCUUGGGUUCGGAAUAACGUCGGGAAACUGACGCUAAUACCGGAUGAUGACGUAAGUCCAAAGAUUUAUCGCCCAAGGAUGAGCCCGCGUAGGAUUAGCUAGUUGGUGGGGUAAAGGCCCACCAAGGCGACGAUCCUUAGCUGGUCUGAGAGGAUGAUCAGCCACACUGGGACUGAGACACGGCCCAGACUCCUACGGGAGGCAGCAGUAGGGAAUAUUGGACAAUGGGGGCAACCCUGAUCCAGCAAUGCCGCGUGAGUGAUGAAGGCCUUAGGGUUGUAAAGCUCUUUUACCCGGGAUGAUAAUGACAGUACCGGGAGAAUAAGCCCCGGCUAACUCCGUGCCAGCCGCCGCGGUAA
rnacentral:rRNA from 1 species